UUCUGUAAGCCUGUGAAGGUGGCCUGUGAGGGUUGCUGGAGGUAUCAGAAGUGCGAAUGCUGACAUAAGUAACGAUAAAGCGGGUGAAAAGCCCGCUCGCCGGAAGACCAAGGGUUCCUGUCCAACGUUAAUCGGGGCAGGGUGAGUCGACCCCUAAGGCGAGGCCGAAAGGCGUAGUCGAUGGGAAACGGGUUAAUAUUCCCGUACUUGGUGUUACUGCGAAGGGGGGACGGAGAAGGCUAUGUUGGCCGGGCGACGGUUGUCCCGGUUUAAGCGUGUAGGUGUGUGUUCCAGGUAAAUCCGGUUCACUUUAACACUGAGGCGUGACGACGAGGCACUACGGUGCUGAAGCAACAAAUGCCCUGCUUCCAGGAAAAGCCUCUAAGCAUCAGGUAACAUCAAAUCGUACCCCAAACCGACACAGGUGGUCAGGUAGAGAAUACCAAGGCGCUUGAGAGAACUCGGGUGAAGGAACUAGGCAAAAUGGUGCCGUAACUUCGGGAGAAGGCACGCUGACACGUAGGUGAAGUGAUUUACUCAUGGAGCUGAAGUCAGUCGAAGAUACCAGCUGGCUGCAACUGUUUAUUAAAAACACAGCACUGUGCAAACACGAAAGUGGACGUAUACGGUGUGACGCCUGCCCGGUGCCGGAAGGUUAAUUGAUGGGGUCAGCGCAAGCGAAGCUCCUGAUCGAAGCCCCGGUAAACGGCGGCCGUAACUAUAACGGUCCUAAGGUAGCGAAAUUCCUUGUCGGGUAAGUUCCGACCUGCACGAAUGGCGUAAUGAUGGCCAGGCUGUCUCCACCCGAGACUCAGUGAAAUUGAACUCGCUGUGAAGAUGCAGUGUACCCGCGGCAAGACGGAAAGACCCCGUGAACCUUUACUAUAGCUUGACACUGAACAUUGAGCCUUGAUGUGUAGGAUAGGUGGGAGGCUUUGAAGUGUGGACGCCAGUCUGCAUGGAGCCGACCUUGAAAUACCACCCUUUAAUGUUUGAUGUUCUAACGUGGACCCGUAA
rnacentral:rRNA from 1 species